ensembl:lincRNA
CAGAUUCCCGCCUGCCUCCUCGUGGGAAGCGGCCGCCGCGCUCGCUCCGGGGCGCCCGUUCUGACCGCUCUGAGCCUCGGCGGGGUGAGCGAGGGGGCACACGCGGGAGACUAUGGCUGUGUUGUUUUUAGAAAACUGCAGCCAAUCUCUCUUCCCCCUUCCCUGCUGAGUGUGCAUUUCCCAGCCUAGACCCGCCAGGCCCACAAAUAAAGCCACCGAGAUCGUGCACUCAGCUAGGGACCGCCCCCAGCGUGACCCCGUGCCCCCUGGCUCCCUCCUGCCUCUCCUCGGGGAACGGCUCCUCGGGCGGCUCAGCGCUCAGAAAACGCAGGGCUCCUUUCCUGCUCGGCAGCCGAGCGCUUCUGCCAGCGUUCUCCAACCAACUAAUAAGCCAUGCACUGGGUACUCAGAGGAAAUGUCAUAUUUAAGUUCUGCCUCUGAUUUCCCUGGUCUUAGCGGAUCUGAGGCUUCUCCGGGUUCCUCGUUUGCACGCACAGUACUGGGUAAUGGAGCCCUACCGCACUGAGGGAUAAUUGCUGGCUGGUGGGUUGGUACAGAGCAAAUUGUCCUUGCUAACAGCCCCUUUCCUUUGCUGUUGGAUUCCACUAAGUGGUGGAAAGGGCCAGUUUUAGGUUUCUGCAAUUCCCCACCAAGGCAGACAGACAGACUUUCUAUGAGAGUAAAGCGAUGGCCCGAGGGAGAACUCAGCAGUGUUCCUUUGCUUUUUAUUUUUUUUUAUUUUUUUGGUCUCAAGAACACAUCCCUCUUCCUGAUAUCAGAGAUCCCCAGCCUGGACAGGACCCAGUUCCCCGGAAGGGGAGAUGCCUCCAGAAUGCCCGGCAGGGGCCGUCAGUGGGCAAUACCCUGCCUCUUGCACUCCCACCAGGGCGACUGCACUCAGCUUGGACUCCCGGAGCCUGGCUGGAACCGUGGCCCAUCAUUAAGAAUAGACUGGAUGGCAAAUGCUCAUUCCUUUCAUCAAGCUGUCAUCAAUUUGUCAGAAAUAAGAUGAAAUCGAUUGCUCCCAGAAGGCCAUUUGAGCCACUAACUUCCUCAAAGUACUUCAGACUGAUGCACUAUAUGGAGAUUCAGGUGACUCUGGCUAUUGCAUGUAGAAUGGGUUCUAAGUGGAGCAAGGGAGGAAAUGAAGAGAACAGCUAUGAUCAAAGUGGAAGGAAUGGAUGAAAUUGCUGAGGACAUUGAGAAAGGAGGCUGAGGACAGAAUGUUGAGGGACCUUUAAAGCCUUGAUCCUCAGGAUGAGCCAACAAAAGACCUUGAGAAUGAAUAACUGAAGAGGUAGGUGGAAAACCAGGGCAGUAGAUUGUCCUCAAGGCCAAAUAGAAGAGGGAUUUGUAAAAGGAAGUGUUGGACAAGAGCUGAACAUUGUUGAGGGUUCCUGUUGGUUGAGAUUGGAAUGCAGUUGGACUUAGCGAGUUGAUGGCUCCUGAGAGUUGACUUUAUCGAGAGUGAGUGAGGGAGGAACAGGAUUAGGGACCAUAUUGCAAUAGACUGAGGAGUCAAUGUGACCAGAGAGACAGGACUAAAGAUAAUUCUCUCUGAAAGUUUCUAGUGAAGGGGAGGAGACAGACAAUAGCUCUGGAAGGAAGAGGUGAGGAGGGAGGUUGAUUGUUUUUAUUAUCUUUUUUGUUUUCUUUUAAGAUCUGGUACUCAUGAACAUUCAUAAAGGCCUGAUAGGUAGAACCUGGUAUUGGGGGCAGUGUUGAGAUUAAAGCACAGAAAAAAUAAUCAGGGUGCAAAUUGCCUGAGAAGCAGGAGGGAAUACAGUUUAGAACCAAAGUGCCGAUGGAUUGAUAUACACCAG